rnacentral:lncRNA from 11 species
GGAGGAAGGCAGAAUCAGCCCCAAAUGGCUCUGCAAUUUCAAAACAAACAGCGAUGGAGCUGGAUCAUCCCUCUUCAUCCUCUCCUUUCCUUGGUAAAGCAAUUUGUUUUUGAAACAACAACAGAAACCAGAGAAUCAAAGGCAGAUGUUGUUUCCUCGUGUAAUAGUCGCACCCUCUUUUUUAUGAAAAAAAUUGUGACUAUUAUGUAAUGAAUAUUGCCCAGAUCUCUAUUUCGUGCUUCUUUGUGGCUCACUCGCAAGACCCCACGACCGUAAACAUCACCGUUGUACUCCUCCCCGAGUACCCAAAAGUCGGAGGCUCCGUUACAAUCAUCCCAGGGACAACGAAGCGGGACGUGACCUCCUGCCUGUGGCUCAAGAAUUUUGAGGACGGAUACCAUCGGAUCAUCUUGAACGAGUUCAAGCCCAACAAUAAGGUCACGAAGGGAGAUAAAUAUGAUGGGAGACAGUUCCUUAGGGAGCACUGUGCCCUGCUCAUCACCAAGCUGGACAUUGAGGACCAGGCAAGCUACAAGAUCAUCAAGAACACCACCAGCGAGACUGAGACUGGAGAAACAUUCCUGCGGAUCCUGGGAGACAUGGACACUUCAGGUCCGCACAAACCACAGCAAAGGGUCAUCACUGUGGGCACCAUGGCGGGCAUCAUCGUCGGCUGCCUGAUCGGGUCCGUCUUGAUCGUAGGCCUGAUCACGUACCAGACCAUGAAACAAUCAGAAAGGAACAGCUGGGGUUCUGGAGAAGGUAGAAGCCCUCAUUCAUCAUCCAAACCUGGGAGCCAGCAGAGACUAAGCAUUCAUAACCUUGGACCUGUACCUGCACCCCAGUGAAAUCAGCCCAGGUGUCCGACCUGCAUCCCACCUGGAAUCCACCUGGACCCCAUGGACUUUCUUCCCGAGACCCUAAGAAGACGGAAAAGAAGACGAAAUGCUCCAUCUUCCAGGAUCACCUCCCAAACAUCUUAACCAUCCUUUGCACCCAUCCAGGCCCCUUGUUGCCCGGAGAGAAAGACAAACCCAUUAUAUAUCCUCGGAUGGAAUAAAAUCCUCCAGUGUCCACCACUUUCGUUUCGGCAGUGCUCCUU